GAUGAACGCUGGCGGCGUGCCUAAUACAUGCAAGUCGAGCGAACAGACGAGGAGCUUGCUCCUCUGACGUUAGCGGCGGGCGGGUGAGUAACACGUGGAUAACCUCCCUAUAAGACUGGUAUAACUUCGGGAAACCGGAGCUAAUCCCGGAUAAUAUAUUGAACCGCAUGGUUCAAUAGUGAAAGACGGUUUUGCUGUCACUUAUAGAUGGUUCCGCGCCGCAUGAGCUAGUUGGUAAGGUAACGGCUUACCAAGGCAACGAUGCGUAGCCGACCGGAGAGGGUGAUCGGCGACACUGGAACUGAGCCACGGUCCAGACUCCUACGGGAGGCAGCAGAAGGGAACCUUCCGCAAUGGGCGAAAGCCUGACGGAGCAACGCCGCGUGAGUGGUGAAGGUCUUCGGAUCGUAAAACUCUGUUAUUAGGGAAGAACAAAUGUGGAAGUAACUAUGCACGUCGUGACGGUAACUAAUCAGAAAGCCACGGCUAACUACGUG
rnacentral:rRNA from 1 species